CGCAGCGAAAGCGAGUCUGAAUAGGGCGUUUAGUACGUGGUCGUAGACCCGAAACCAGGUGAUCUACCCAUGUCCAGGGUGAAGUUCAGGUAACACUGAAUGGAGGCCCGAACCCACGCACGUUGAAAAGUGCGGGGAUGAGGUGUGGGUAGCGGAGAAAUUCCAAUCGAACCUGGAGAUAGCUGGUUCUCCCCGAAAUAGCUUUAGGGCUAGCCUUAAGUGUAAGAGUCUUGGAGGUAGAGCACUGAUUGAACUAGGGGUCCUCAUCGGAUUACCGAAUUCAGUCAAACUCCGAAUGCCAAUGACUUAUCCUUAGGAGUCAGACUGCGAGUGAUAAGAUCCGUAGUCAAGAGGGAAACAGCCCAGAUCGCCAGCUAAGGUCCCAAAGUGUGUAUUAAGUGGAAAAGGAUGUGGAGUUGCUUAGACAACUAGGAUGUUGGCUCAGAAGCAGCCACCAUUUAAAGAGUGCGUAAUAGCUCACUAGUCGAGUGACUCUGCGCCGAAAAUGUACCGGGGCUAAAUACACCACCGAAGCUGCGAAUUGAUACCAAUGGUAUCAGUGGUAGGGGAGCGUUCUAAGUGCAGUGAAGUCAGACCGGAAGGACUGGUGGAGCGCUUAGAAGUGAGAAUGCCGGUAUGAGUAGCGAAAGACGGGUGAGAAUCCCGUCCACCGAAUGCCUAAGGUUUCCUGAGGAAGGCUCGUCCGCUCAGGGUUAGUCAGGACCUAAGCCGAGGCCGACAGGCGUAGGCGAUGGACAACAGGUUGAUAUUCCUGUACCACCUCUUUAUCGUUUGAGCAAUGGAGGGACGCAGAAGGAUAGAAGAAGCGUGCGAUUGGUUGUGCACGUCCAAGCAGUUAGGCUGAUAAGUAGGCAAAUCCGCUUAUCGUGAAGGCUGAGCUGUGAUGGGGAAGCUCCUUAUGGAGCGAAGUCUUUGAUUCCCCGCUGCCAAGAAAAGCUUCUAGCGAGAUAAAAGGUGCCUGUACCGCAAACCGACACAGGUAGGCGAGGAGAGAAUCCUAAGGUGUGCGAGAGAACUCUGGUUAAGGAACUCGGCAAAAUGACCCCGUAACUUCGGGAGAAGGGGUGCUUUCUUAACGGAAAGCCGCAGUGAAUAGGCCCAAGCGACUGUUUAGCAAAAACACAGGUCUCUGCGAAGCCGUAAGGCGAAGUAUAGGGGCUGACACCUGCCCGGUGCUGGAAGGUUAAGGAGAGGGGUUAGCGUAAGCGAAGCUCUGAACUGAAGCCCCAGUAAACGGCGGCCGUAACUAUAACGGUCCUAAGGUAGCGAAAUUCCUUGUCGGGUAAGUUCCGACCCGCACGAAAGGUGUAACGAUUUGGGCACUGUCUCAACCAGAGACUCGGUGAAAUUAUAGUACCUGUGAAGAUGCAGGUUACCCGCGACAGGACGGAAAGACCCCGUGGAGCUUUACUGUAGCCUGAUAUUGAAUUUUGGUACAGUUUGUACAGGAUAGGCGGGAGCCAUUGAAACCGGAGCGCUAGCUUCGGUGGAGGCGCUGGUGGGAUACCGCCCUGACUGUAUUGAAAUUCUAACCUACGGGUCUUAUCGACCCGGGAGACAGUGUCAGGUGGGCAGUUUGACUGGGGCGGUCGCCUCCUAAAGUGUAACGGAGGCGCCCAAAGGUUCCCUCAGAAUGGUUGGAAAUCAUUCGUAGAGUGCAAAGGCAUAAGGGAGCUUGACUGCGAGACCUACAAGUCGAGCAGGGACGAAAGUCGGGCUUAGUGAUCCGGUGGUUCCGCAUGGAAGGGCCAUCGCUCAACGGAUAAAAGCUACCCCGGGGAUAACAGGCUUAUCUCCCCCAAGAGUCCACAUCGACGGGGAGGUUUGGCACCUCGAUGUCGGCUCAUCGCAUCCUGGGGCUGUAGUCGGUCCCAAGGGUUGGGCUGUUCGCCCAUUAAAGCGGUACGCGAGCUGGGUUCAGAACGUCGUGAGACAGUUCGGUCCCUAUCCGUCGUGGGCGCAGGAAAUUUGAGAGGAGCUGUCCUUAGUACGAGAGGACCGGGAUGGACGCACCGCUGGUGUACCAGUUGUUCUGCCAAGGGCAUAGCUGGGUAGCUAUGUGCGGAAGGGAUAAGUGCUGAAAGCAUCUAAGCAUGAAGCCCCCCUCAAGAUGAGAUUUCCCAUAGCGUAAGCUAGUAAGAUCCCUGAAAGAUGAUCAGGUUGAUAGGUUCGAGGUGGAAGCAUGGUGACAUGUGGAGCUGACGAAUACUAAUAGAUCGAGGACUUAACCAU
rnacentral:rRNA from 1 species